rnacentral:rRNA from 2 species
GAUUGAUUUUGGUCGCCAACGAGUGGCGGACGGGUGAGUAACACGUAGGUAACCUGCCCAGAAGCGGGGGACAACAUUUGGAAACAGAUGCUAAUACCGCAUAACAACGUUGUUCGCAUGAACAACGCUUAAAAGAUGGCUUCUCGCUAUCACUUCUGGAUGGACCUGCGGUGCAUUAGCUUGUUGGUGGGGUAACGGCCUACCAAGGCGAUGAUGCAUAGCCGAGUUGAGAGACUGAUCGGCCACAAUGGGACUGAGACACGGCCCAUACUCCUACGGGAGGCAGCAGUAGGGAAUCUUCCACAAUGGGCGCAAGCCUGAUGGAGCAACACCGCGUGAGUGAAGAAGGGUUUCGGCUCGUAAAGCUCUGUUGUUAAAGAAGAACACGUAUGAGAGUAACUGUUCAUACGUUGACGGUAUUUAACCAGAAAGUCACGGCUAACUACGUGCCAGCAGCCGCGGUAAUACGUAGGUGGCAAGCGUUAUCCGGAUUUAUUGGGCGUAAAGAGAGUGCAGGCGGUUUUCUAAGUCUGAUGUGAAA